CUCCACCAACAGUUGAAGCUGCCAGCAUGAUCUUAAUUUUCCCUCUUUUUUCUUUCAUUGAGGGUAAAGAUGAGAUCAUAUGGCAGUUUCACCUGUUGCUGCU
rnacentral:pre_miRNA from 1 species